UAGGAGUCAAAGUGGUCGCCAUGGCCAA
rnacentral:sRNA from 1 species